AAGCGUGCGCAGGCGGUUGUGUAAGUCAGAUGUGAAAUCCCCGGGCUCAACCUGGGAAUUGCAUUUGAGACUGCACGGCUAGAGUGUGUCAGAGGGGGGUAGGAAUUCCACGUGUAGCAGUGAAAUGCGUAGAUAUGUGGAGGAAUACCGAUGGCGAAGGCAGCCCCCUGGGAUAACACUGACGCUCAUGCACGAAAGCGUGGGGAGCAAACAGGAUUAGAUACCCUAGU
rnacentral:rRNA from 1 species